ensembl:lncRNA
AAUCUACAGAUCCAAGGAGGUCAAUGAAAACCAGAUGUGAUAAAUAUAAAGAGAUCAAUACCUAGACAUAUCACAAUCAAAGUGCUGUAAGCCAAAGACACAGGAAAAACCUUGAAAACAUCAAGAGAAAAAAGACUCAUCAUGCACAGUGAACCAAUGGUACUACUUAAGGUUGACUUCUGAAUCAGAAACAAUAGAGGCCAGAAGGCAAUGGGAGAACAUAUUCAAAGUGCAGUCAAACCAGAAUUCUAUAUCCAGCAUACCUAUUCUUAAAAAAAUAAAGGCAAAAAUAAAAUGUCCCCAUAUAAACAAAGAUUGAGGGAAAUUGCUGCCAGCAGAUCUGCCUUAUAGGAAAUACUAAAGAAAGUCCUUCAGGCUGAAAGGCAGAAGACCAGAUGAUAAUUUAAAUCCAUAGAAAGAAAUAAAGGGACCCAAAAUGGUAAGUAUAUAUGUAAAUAAAAGACUGUAAAAUAUAUUUUCUAAUUCUCAUAAUGUAUUUUUUAAAUAUAAGAUUGUAUUAAGCAAUAACGAUAACGCUAUAUUUUGUGGGUUAUAACAUAUAUAGAGAUGUCAUAUAUAUGACAAUAGCAUAAACAGUGAGAGUAGAAGAAAUUGAGCUAUUUUAGAGCAAAGUUGCCAUAUUUUGCAGGAAUUGUCAGUAUUUACCUGAAGUAGAUUGUGAUAAGUUAAGAUAUUGUAAUCCAAAGUAACCACUAAUCACUCCAAAAAACCAGUUUAAAAAAAUCAACAGGGGCCAGCCCUGUGGCCAAGUGGUUAGGUUCGCACCCUCUGCCUCUGCAGCCCAGGGUUUCACCGGUUAGAAUCCUGGGCGCAGACACGGCACCACUCAUCAGACCAUGCUGGGGCGGCGUCCCACAUGCCACAGCCAGAAGGACCCACAACUGAAAACACGUAACUAUGUGCCAGGGGGCAUUGGGAGAAAAAGAAAAAGUAAAAUCUUUAAAAAAAAAAAUCAACAAAUAAUAGGAGAUAUUAAUAAAGAACUGGACUCCAAUGGGUCAAAGAAGAAAUCACAAGGAGAAUUCAAAAAUAUCUGAACAAUUGUUAAUGGGGAUAAUAGGAGCCUUGAAUAGUAAAGGCCAAGUGGUGGCACUUAACCAUUAUAAGCAAGGUGGUCAAAAUUACCAUAAUAGGCGGCAAGGUUGGAAUGACAGCCAGGGUAGAGUUGACCUAGGAAAAGGAUAGACAGCCAUUUAGCCUAUUGCUUAACGAGUCAUAAUGAAAAGAGAUAAAAAAAAAAAAAAAUGGACGAGCAGAAGGCAGGUAUCAUGUACCUAAUGGAAAGGCAUGAUCCUUGUCCAGUUCCCAGGCCUGAAUCAAUUCUCAGACUCAGAACCCAUCAACUGAGGGAAAGGCCAGGUCCUGAUGAAGAAAGACGCAGAAAGUAUUCACGCAAGUGCUCUCCACAGUCCUUCUAAAAGGUGACUAUGGCUCUUUACUCAGAUAACCAUAUACUGGAGAAAGAAUAACCAGAUCUUUCAAAGGCAGUUGUAUACAGGGUAUGAGUUGAUGCUAAGAACCAGGGAUCUAAAGAGUCCUUACGGUCCCCUGUUAGAGUAAGAGAAUGUGGGAGCACUCAGGCAAUAAAAGAGUACUGACCCAGGUCCAUCUCACUGUGUGUCCAAUAGGUCUGGCGGCACCUCUGGUAAUUAUUGCUCAGUUCCAAAAUGUAUAAUCAGAAGGGACAUGAAUAACAGUUCAGAAACUUCAUAUUGGCUCCCGAGCUGUAAAAAACACAAAGUGGUUGGUAGGCUUCUUUGAGUUUUGGAAACAGCAUAUUCCACACUUGGGAAUACUGCUCAGCGCCAUUCAUCAGGUGUCACAGAAGACUGGAAGGCUUUGAGUGAGG